rnacentral:tRNA from 1 species
GCCAGAGUGGUGGAACGGCAGACACGCGGGUCUUAGGAACCCGUGCCCACGGGCGUGAGGGUUCGAGUCCCUCCUCUGGCACCA